rnacentral:rRNA from 1 species
UUUUAUGAGAGUUUGAUCCUGGCUCAGGACGAACGCUGGCGGCGUGCCUAAUACAUGCAAGUCGAACGCUUCUUUUUCCACCGGAGCUUGCUCCACCGGGAAAAGA